rnacentral:ribozyme from 1 species
CUUUGCUUCUUUAGACGCAUCAAGAACCACAUCGCUGUCAUGAAAAGCGAAAGUAAUUAAAUGGUCACAACGAUCUAUGAUUUCAGAAUUACAUAGUCUACUUGCUACAUCUAAAGACA